rnacentral:rRNA from 1 species
CGUGUAGGCGGCUUCGUGUGUCCCAUGUGAAAGCCCUCGGCUCAACCGGGGAACUGCAUGGGAAACUGCGGAGCUUGAGUCCGGGAGAGGAGAGCGGAAUUCCCAGUGUAGCGGUGAAAUGCGUAGAUAUUGGGAGGAACACCGGUGGCGAAGGCGGCUCUCUGGACCGGUACUGACGCUGAGACGCGAAAGCAGGGGAGACGAAACG